rnacentral:snRNA from 1 species
UACAUCGGCGGUUAUUUUUUCGG